GACAGAGCCAGUAUAAACACGGUCCCUCGUGAGUCAAGCGUCUGGGAUAAGUGAACAAACACUGGGCUGAAAACCUGGGACUGGCUGGUUGUUUAAGAGCUAUCACCUGCUCCUUCGUUCUCAUUGUAGCCCAGGGCUGGCUGGGUCAGGGGGUGCAUGUCUCAUCCAGAACCACACAGAGGCCAACAUUUUAUCAACGCUCACCAACCAAGACCCUCCACUUUUCCACCAGUUUGUCCACCGGUGAAAAGGAGAAGCCAGCCAAGAACCAGCAGCUUCUGGCUACCUUGAUCAGAAGGUUGAUGAAGGCAAUGAAACAAAGAUGGAAAAACACAUCACACAGGCCCUUACCAGAUGCCAGCAUCUUGAUAUUGGACUUCCCAGCCUUCAGAACUAUAAGGCUCCAGUCAAGCAACCCACCUUAUCAAGUGGACCAGGCACAGCUCCUACUUAUCCCUGAGUACAAUUACAAAGAUAUGCUAAUGCUCUGCACCAAGUGGCAGCUACAUGCUUGAGACCAACACUGAAAAUCAGUCAUGGAAUCACUGCAUAUCUGAACAAGGGCCACGAGAGGAGGCACAGAUGGGUCAACUGACUUGAGCAGAGCCACCCAGCAAAUUCAGCGUCGGAGUAUGGUAACUAGAUCUCCUGAUCCAACCAUCCUUCCCUGCACCCUCCCAUCUAGGCUAAUGAGGAGAAAUGUAAUCACGGUGGUAAUUGCAGGCAAAGAUGAGCAUCACUUGGUAAAGCAAUAUGUGUACUUGAGUUGGCCAUAUGGAAAAUCCAGUGCAGGAUAUGGGGGUGAAUGGUCAGUUGCUGUGUGUCAUUGGUGGGAUGGAAUCUAUGGCCUUCUUGGCUAUUCUUUACAUGAAACAUUUCCUGGGGGUGAUGGUCCAGUUAAAAGUCCUCUUAAAGAUAAAAUAAAACUAACUCAAACCAGUAUGUCAUGCUUCACCAGCUGGUGUUUCAACCAGGGAAGCCCAUGCCAAGAUGAGAAAGAAGUCUACCCUUCCCAUUGCUGAGCUGUGGCUCCUCCUUAUCAGUUCCUAGUAGGAGAAGCUAUGUUCCCCCUAGGCUAGAGGACUUCACAUUCUGGACACUGGCGGCUCAGGGGAGCUCUGUUGUACCACCACUGUGGCCCCAGAACCUGCUGUUGCUGUCCAAAUCCGGGGAGUCUAAGGAAAUGUCCCAUUCUCACUGCUGCUAAUAGUGAUUAGCAAGCUAAUGCAAUAUGUCCAGCUUUACCACACUCUCCCACUGUCCCCAGUGGCUGCUUUUUAUGGCUAUGCAAGUAAACACCAUCAGCCUGAGAAGGAGUGGCAUAAACUGAGCCUUUAUCUCUGGUCCUUUCCCUGCCCCAUGGUGCAGAUCCCACUUUGGGCUCAGCCAAGAGUGGGUCAUAUCAUAAUUGGAUUAGAUCCCAAUGUUAUUGUUUCAUAGGAACUCACACAACCAUUUCCUCAGGGUGCAAGGCUGCCAUCAGUAUGGCUGGGCUGGUGAAUUUUCUGGCAUCAGGAACCUAUGAGACCUAGAACUCCUGUCACCCUCUUAUGCCACCACACCUUCUUCCAUGGUAAAUGCUAGCUCAUUCAAUUAAUUAAAAAAUACCAGCAAGGUGCUUUUUAUUUAGUGCACACUUAUAUAGGCACUAUGAAUAUAGGAGGAAAGAUGAAAAAUUCCAGCCUUCACAAAGCCAAUAUUUCCAGUGUUACUGCC
rnacentral:lncRNA from 10 species